AUUGAACGCUGGCGGCAGGCCUAACACAUGCAAGUCGAACGAGUGGCGGACGGGUGAGUAAUGUCUGGGAAACUGCCUGAUGGAGGGGGAUCACUACUGGAAACGGUAGCUAAUACCUCAUACCCUCAGAUGUGCCCAGAUUGGAUUAGCUAGUAGGUGGGGUAACGGCUCACCUAGUCGACGAUCCCUAGCUGGUCUGAGAGGAUGACCAGCAACACUGGAAAUGAGACACGUUCCAGACUCCUACGGGAGGCAGCAGUGGGGAAUAUUGCACAAUGGUCGCAAGCCUGAUGCAGCCAUUCCGCGUGUAUGAAGAAGGCCUUCGGGUUGUAAAGUACUUUCAGCGUGGAGGCGUUACCCGCAGAAGAAGCACCGGCUAACUCCGUGCCAGCAGCCGCGGUAAUUC
rnacentral:rRNA from 1 species